rnacentral:rRNA from 1 species
UACAGAGGUCUCAAGCGUUGUUCGGAUUCAUUGGGCGUAAAGGGUGUGUAGGCGGUUGUUUAAGUUUGGUGUGAAAUCUCCCGGCUCAACUGGGAGGGUGCGCCGAAUACUGAAUGACUUGGAGUGCGGGAGAGGAAAGUGGAAUUCCUGGUGUAGCGGUGAAAUGCGUAGAUAUCAGGAGGAACACCGGUGGUGUAGACGGCUUUCUGGACCGUAACUGACGCUGAGACACGAAAGCGUGGGUAGCAAACAGG